rnacentral:rRNA from 1 species
CAGCCGCCGCGGGAAUACAGAGGGUGCAAGCGUUAAUCGGAAUUACUGGGCGUAAAGCGCGCGUAGGUGGUUUGUUAAGUUGGAUGUGAAAUCCCCGGGCUCAACCUGGGAACUGCAUCCAAAACUGGCAAGCUAGAGUAUGGUAGAGGGUGGUGGAAUUUCCUGUGUAGCGGUGAAAUGCGUAGAUAUAGGAAGGAACACCAGUGGCGAAGGCGACCACCUGGACUGAUACUGACACUGAGGUGCGAAAGCGUGGGGAGCAAACAGGAUUAGAUACCCCAGUAGUCCCUGUCUCUUAUAA